UAGUGUGAGCGGUAGAGGAGCGUCGUAAUCGGGCUGAAGUCGUACCGUAAGGAGCGGUGGACUGAUUACGAGUGAGAAUGUUGGCAUUAGUAGCGAGAUGUGGGUGAGAAUCCCACAGGCCGAAUACCUAAGGUUUCCUCAGGAAGGUUCGUCCGCUGAGGGUUAGUCGGGACCUAAGCUGAGGCCGAAAGGCGUAAGCGAUGGACAAUCGGUUGAUAUUCCGAUACCACUAUUAUCGUUAUUAUCGAUGGUGUGACGGAGAAGGAUAGGAUGUGCUAGCUAUUGGAUGCUAGUCUAAGCGUUUAGGGAGUUAGGAUAGGCAAAUCCGUUCUAACAAUUCUGAGGCGUGAUGGGGAAGGUUCUAAGGAACCGAAGUAUCUGAUUCCAUGCUUCCAAGAAAAGCAUCUAGAAAGAGAAAUAGUGCCCGUACCGCAAACCGACACAGGUAGGUGAGGAGAGAAUCCUAAGGCCGGCGGAAGAAUUGCAGUUAAGGAACUAGGCAAAUUGACCCCGUAACUUCGGGAGAAGGGGUGCCUGCGAGAGCAGGCCGCAGAGAAUAGGCACAAGCAACUGUUUAACAAAAACACAGGUCUCUGCUAAAGCGAAAGCUGAUGUAUAGGGGCUGACGCCUGCCCGGUGCUGGAAGGUUAAGGGGAACACUUAGCGUAAGCGAAGGUGUGAACUUAAGCCCCAGUAAACGGCGGCCGUAACUAUAACGGUCCUAAGGUAGCGAAAUUCCUUGUCAGGUAAGUUCUGACCCGCACGAAUGGCGUAAUGACUUGUGCACUGUCUCAACUGCAAAUCCGGCGAAGUUGUAGUGCGAGUGAAGAUGCUCGCUACCCGCGAUUGGACGGAAAGACCCCGUAGAGCUUUACUGUAGCUUAGCAUUGAAUUUCGGUAUUGUCUGUACAGGAUAGGUGGGAGACUGGGAAAUCAGAGCGUCAGCUUUGAUGGAGUCAUCCUUGGGAUACCACCCUGAUAGUACUGGAAUUCUAACUGGAUGCCAUGAAUCUGGUGACAGGACAUUGUUAGGUGGGCAGUUUGACUGGGGCGGUCGCCUCCUAAAAAGUAACGGAGGCGCCCAAAGGUUCCCUCAGAACGGUCGGAAAUCGUUCGUAGAGUGCAAAGGCAUAAGGGAGCCUGACUGCGAGACCUACAAGUCGAGCAGGGACGAAAGUCGGGCUUAGUGAUCCGGUGGUACCUCGUGGGAGGGCCAUCGCUCAACGGAUAAAAGCUACCUCGGGGAUAACAGGCUGAUCUCCCCCAAGAGUUCACAUCGACGGGGAGGUUUGGCACCUCGAUGUCGGCUCGUCGCAUCCUGGGGCUGAAGUAGGUCCCAAGGGUUGGGCUGUUCGCCCAUUAAAGCGGCACGCGAGCUGGGUUCAGAACGUCGUGAGACAGUUCGGUCCCUAUCCGUCGCGGGCGCAGGAAAUUUGAGAAGAGCUGUCCUUAGUACGAGAGGACCGGGAUGGACCGACCUAUGGUGUACCAGUUGUUUCGCCAGAAGCAUAGCUGGGUAGCUAAGUCGGGACGGGAUAAACGCUGAAAGCAUCUAAGCGUGAAGCCUCCUUCAAGAUGAGAUUUCCCAUAGCGUAAGCUAGUAAGACCCCUUGAAGACUACAAGGUUGAUAGGUCAGAGGUGUAAGUGUGGCAACAUAUUUAGCUGACUGAUACUAAUAGGUCGAGGGCUUGACCAAUAA
rnacentral:rRNA from 1 species